UGUGAUGAAGGGGAAGCAGGUA
rnacentral:misc_RNA from 1 species